UCCAGUCAUAGUCUCAGCACAGAAGCCAGGUAUGAACAGGCAGUUAUGUCAAAUGAUUAUAAUUCCACAGAUAUUUGUCUUCUUACUAAAACAAGUCAAACAGGAUAGGCAAAAAGUUUCAGCAGGGAAAACAUGGCACUGGAAGGAAACUAAGUCAGGAGCACAAUAAUUAAGAAAGUGUCUACAGUUUCAGCAGAUGAGUUGGAAUUCUACUCACUUCAAGGAAAUGAAGUGGACAACCGGAUACUCUUAGAAUCGCAACAAUGAGAAGAUCAAAACCUGCGGGAGUCCCUUGAAGUAGCCAGGUACAUGUUGAAAAGGUGAAGAUUCCACCUUUCUGCAAAAUUGUUGCAAUACAGAUAAACCAGCAGCAGGAUUGGGCUUCCUUGGUUUUUCUCCCAGAUCUCCAGACCAACUGAAAGC